rnacentral:rRNA from 1 species
AGCGAACGCUGGCGGCAGGCCUAACACAUGCAAGUCGAACGAACUCUUCGGAGUUAGUGGCGGACGGGUGAGUAACACGUGGGAACGUGCCUUUAGGUUCGGAAUAACUCGGGGAAACUUGUGCUAAUACCGAAUGUGCCCUUCGGGGGAAAGAUUUAUCGCCUUUAGAGCGGCCCGCGUCUGAUUAGCUAGUUGGUGAGGUAAAGGCUCACCAAGGCGACGAUCAGUAGCUGGUCUGAGAGGAUGAUCAGCCACAUUGGGACUGAGACACGGCCCAAACUCCUACGGGGGGCAGCAGUGGGGAAUCUUGCGCAAUGGGCGAAAGCCUGACGCAGCCAUGCCGCGUGAAUGAUGAAGGUCUUAGGAUUGUAAAAUUCUUUCACCGGGGACGAUAAUGACGGUACCCGGAGAAGAAGCCCCGGCUAACUUCGUGCCAGCCGCCGCAGUAA